rnacentral:rRNA from 1 species
GAUGAACGCUAGCGGCAGGCUUAAUACAUGCAAGUCGUGGGGCAGCGGUCCCGCAGCAAUGCGGGAGCUGGCGACCGGCAAACGGGUGCGGAACACGUACGCAACCUUCCUUUAACUGGAGAAUAGCCCCUCGAAAGAGGGAUUAAUACUCCGUAACAUAUAGAUGUGGCAUCACAAUUAUAUUAUAGCUCCGGCGGUUAAAGAUGGGCGUGCGCCUGAUUAGANAGUUGGCGGGUAACGGCCCACCAAGUCUGCGAUCAGUAACUGGUGUGAGAGCACGACCAGUCACACGGGCACUGAGACACGGGCCCGACUCCUACGGGAGGCAGCAGUAAGGAAUAUUGGUCAAUGGACGCAAGUCUGAACCAGCCAUGCCGCGUGGAGGACUAAGGCCCUCUGGUUGUAAACUCCUUUUAUCUGGGAAGAAAUCCAAGUAUUCUUAUUUGGUUGACGGUACCAGAGGAAUAAGCACGGCUAACUCCGUGCCAGCCGCCG